UGAUGGCCAAUAUGUUAGAAUUGUGUAAACACAAAGGGAGUUUAUCGUGUUGGACGUUUUAUUGAUUCUUAUAUCUUGAGACGAAGAUAGUCUUUUUAAAAGUGUAUA